rnacentral:rRNA from 1 species
UGGGGUAUAUUGCACAAUGGGGGCACCCGUGAUCCAGCAAUGCCGCGUGUGUGAAGAAGGCCUUCGGGUUGUAAAGCUCUUUCUGUGGGACAAACAUGGCGGUUCUAACACCUCAGUCCUUGCUGGUACCCAAAGAAGAAGCACGGGCUAAUUCUGUGCCAGCAGCGGCGGUAAUACAGAGGGUGCAAGCGUUAUUCGGAAUUACUGGGCGUAAAGCGUGCGUAGGUGUUUUGUUAAUUCAGGUGUGAAAUCCUCGGCUUCAACCCGGGAACUCCUUUUGAUCCUGCCAGACUGGAGUGUGGUAGAGGAUAGUGGAUUUCCCGGGGUACCGGUGAAAUGCGUAGAUUUCGGGAGGACCUUCAGUGGGGAAGGCGGCUAUUUGGACCAACACUGCCAUUGAGCUAGGAAAGCGUGGGUAGCAACCAGGAUUAGAUACCUUGUUAUUCCCCCCGGUAACCGAUGUUUGCUAGCCGUUGGGGAAUUUAUUUUCUCAGUGUCGCAGCUAACGCAUUAAGCACACCGCCUGGGGAGUACGGUCGCAAGAUUA